rnacentral:rRNA from 1 species
UAGCCAGACUCCUACGGGAGGCAGCAGUAGGGAAUCUUCCACAAUGGGCGAAAGCCUGAUGGAGCAACGCCGCGUGGGUGAAGAAGGUCUUCGGAUCGUAAAACCCUGUUGUUAGAGAAGAAAGUGCGUGAGAGUAACUGUUCACGUUUCGACGGUAUCUAACCAGAAAGCCACGGCUAACUCCGUGCCAGCAGCCGCGGUAAUACGGAGGAUGCGAGCGUUAUCCGGAUUUAUUGGGUUUAAAGGGUGCGUGGGCGGUCCGGAAGGUCAGGGGAAAAAGCCCGGGGCUCAACCCCGGCGAGCCGUUGAAACUGUCGGACUAGAGACGGCGAGAAGUACGCGGAAUGCGCGGUGUAGCGGUGAAAUGCAUAGAUAUCACGCAGAACUCCGAUUGCGAAGGCAGCAUACCGGCGCUCAACUGACGCUCAUGCACGAAAGUGUGGGUAUCGAACAGGAUUAGAUACCCCCGUA